rnacentral:rRNA from 1 species
UGCAGUCGAACGGGGUGAAGGGGCAACUCUUCAUUCAGUGGCGAACGGGUGAGUAAUGCAUCGGAACGUGUCCCGUAGAGGGGGAUAACUCGGCGAAAGCCGUGCUAAUACCGCAUAUGCUCUAUGGAGGAAAGUGGGGGACCCGCAAGGGCCUUACGCUAUGGGAGCGGCCGAUGUCCGAUUAGCUUGUUGGUGGGGUAAUGGCCUACCAAGGCGACGAUCGGUAGCUGGUCUGAGAGGAUGAUCAGCCACACUGGGACUGAGACACGGCCCAGACUCCUACGGGAGGCAGCAGUGGGGAAUUUUGGACAAUGGGGGCAACCCUGAUCCAGCCAUGCCGCGUGCGGGAAGAAGGCCUUCGGGUUGUAAACCGCUUUUAGUCGGGAAGAAAAGGCCACCUUGAAUACGGGUGGUUUUUGACGGUACCGGCGGAAUAAGCACCGGCUAACUACGUGCCAGCAGCCGCGGUAAUACGUAGGGUGCGAGCGUUAAUCGGAAUUACUGGGCGUAAAGCGUGCGCAGGCGGUUCGUCGUGUCUGAUGUGAAAGCCCCGGGCUCAACCUGGGAACGGCAUUGGAAACUGGCGGACUAGAGUGUGGCAGAGGGGGGUGGAAUUCCGCGUGUAGCAGUGAAAUGCGUAGAGAUGCGGAGGAACACCGAUGGCGAAGGCAGCCCCCUGGGUUAACACUGACGCUCAGCACGAAAGCGUGGGGAGCAAACAGGAUUAGAUACCCUGUAGUCCACGCCCUAAACCAUGUCAACUGGGUGUUGGGGAAGCGAUUCCUCAGUACCGUAGCUAACGCGUGAAGUUGACCGCCUGGGGAGUACGGCCGCAAGGUUAAAACUCAAAGGAAUUGACGGGGACCGCACAAGCGGGGA